GUCGCAAAGGUCAGGUGCCCCAGUAAGAGCAUGGGCAGCUUGGAGCCGUCCUUGGGCAGGUCUCACCACAGAGCCCUGGGAGGAGGUCCUGGUGUAAGAUGUCUGGCAGGGAAGUGUGAGCCCCCAGAGGUUCCUGGGCUGCAGGAGGUGUUGGAAGGCAAUUGCCGAACAGAGGAAAGGCUAUCAAUCAUCUGGUUUCGACUCCUGUGUAUGGAAAUCCAGAGAAUAUGUUACCAAUUUUCAGCUGUGUGCUUGGCAGUGCAGCAGCAGCCAUGGACUUCCCUUCCACCUCCUAAUGACCCUACUGCAAAAAGCUCAUGCUAGUGAUGCAAAAAGCUGAAAUCAAAGUUUGGUUUCAGCUAGAUGACAAGUCUGCAGGAACCCAGUGAUCCACAGCUGUAGUGGACGCAGCCACCCGAAGCAGACUGCUGACUCUCCAUCCCUUUCCACCUGCACUCUCCCACCUCCACCUGCGUGUUUGCACUGAAUAUUGUGCGUUUGAUCAUGCAGCUGUGCAGUGAAUGCAGUCAGCCCAUGGAUCCUGCUGAAGUCCACUGCUAUCCUACAGAAUUUAUUUUUGGCAGGAUCUGUAAGCUGAUCCAGUUUGCCAUGCGAGUGCACCAGCUGAUACAAGGCUGGUGAUGGAAAGGUAUGGCUGGGGUUACAUUUAAUUAAAAAAAAAAUAUAUAGAUAUCUCUUA